CCCCAUUUCAGCGUUUUACCCCCAUUUCAGCGUUUUACCCCCAUUUCAGCGUUUUAUCCUCAUUUCAGCGUUUUAUCCCCAUUUCAGUUUCCGCUUUCAGUUUCUGCUUUCAGUUUCCGUUUCAGCGUUUUAUCCCUACCCAAUUUUCCUGAUUAUCGCGCACGAGCGUUGAUAAUGUAUAGUGUUGUAAUUGUAUUGUUUGAAUCGCAUCUUCAAGGCGUUCUUGGCCUUAUUUUGCAAACUGAUAGUGCUAGUAAUGACGGAAUGUCUUCGUACGAAGACAAGUAUCUCAACCUGGCAUUGGGAGUCGUGUCUGGAGUUUCAAGGCAAGUA